rnacentral:rRNA from 1 species
GACGAACGCUGGCGGCGUGCUUAACACAUGCAAGUCGAACGGAAAGGCCCCUUUGGGGGUACUCGAGUGGCGAACGGGUGAGUAACACGUGAGUAACCUGCCCUUGACUUCGGGAUAACUUCAGGAAACUGGGGCUAAUACCGGAUAGGAAUCCUUGCUGCAUGGUGGGGGUUGGAAAGCUUCGGCGGUUUUGGAUGGACUCGCGGCUUAUCAGCUUGUUGGUGGGGUAGUGGCUUACCAAGGCUUUGACGGGUAGCCGGCCUGAGAGGGCGACCGGCCAAAUUGGGACUGAGAUCCGGCCCAGACCCCUCCGGGAGGAAGCAGUGGGGAAUAUUGCCCAAUGGGCGGAAGCCUGAUGCAGCAACGCCGCGGGCGGAUGACGGCCUUCGGGUUGUAAACCGCUUUCAGCAGGGGCGAAGCUUGUGGUGACGGUACCUGCAGAAGAAGCACCGGCUAACUACGUG